CUCUCCAAAAUAUACCCAAAAACCUAUCCAGAUCCAUAUAAAAGUACAUCAUGUAUGUUUUGUGGUUUUGUACUCAAAAGUACAUCAUGUAUGUUUUGUGGUGGUGUGUGGUGGGGUGUGGAGGUGGUGUAGUGGUGUGUGGAGGUGUGUGGUGGGGUGUGGAGGUGGUGUAGGGGGUGUGGAGGUGUGUAGUGGUGUGUGGAGGUGGUGUAGUGGUGUGUGGAGGUGGUGUAGUGGGGUGUGGAGGUGGUGUAGUGGUGUGUGGAGGUGUGUGGAGGUGGUGUAGUGGUGUGUGGAGGUGGUGUAGUGGUGUGUGGAGGCGUGUGGAGGUGUGUAGUGGUGUGUGGAGGUGUGUAGUGGUGUGUGGUGGUGUGUGGAGGUGGUGUAGUGGUGUGUGGAGGCGUGUGGAGGUGGUGUAGUGGUGUGUGGAGGCGGUGUGUGGAGGUGUGUAGUGGUGUGUGGAGGGUGUGGAGUGGUGUAGUGGUGUGUGGAGGUGGUGUGUGGAGGUGGUGUAGUGUGGAGGUGGUGUAGUGG
ensembl:lncRNA